rnacentral:rRNA from 1 species
AACGAACGCUGGCGGCAUGCCUAACACAUGCCAGUCGAACGAAACCUUCGGGUCUACUGGCGCACGGGUGCGUAACGCGGGGGAACCUGCCCUUAGGUUCGGCAUAACUCCCCGAAAGGGGUGCUAAUACCGGAUAAUGUCUUCGGACCACAGAUUUAUCGCCUUUGGAUGGGCCCGCGUUGGAUUAGCUAGUUGGUAGGGUAAAAGCCUACCAAGGCGACGAUCCAUAGCUGGUCUGGGAGGAUGAACAGCAACACUGGGACUGAGACACGGCCCAGACUCGUACGGGAGGCAGCAGUGGGGAAUAUUGGACAAUGGGCGAACGCCUGAUCCAGCAGUGCCGCGUGAUGUAUGCAGGCCUUAGGGUUGUAUAGCUCUUUUAACCGGGAUGAUAAUGACGGUACCGGGAGAAUAAGCUCCGGCUAACUCCGUG